AUUGCUUCUUGGCCUUUUGGCUAAGAUCAAGUGUAGUACCUGUUCUUAUCAGUUUAAUAUCUGAUACUUCCUCUAUCCAAGGACAAUAUAUUAAAUGGAGUUUUGGAAGUAGGAGAUAGAAUAGAGGCUUGCGGCAUCCACUCCAUGCAUGGGCCUGGUAUUGCAGCACUUCCAGGAACAGUGCACCAAAA